UUUGCCCCUCCCCAAGUCGCGCAUGCGCGCGCUCUCGCUCGAACUAAAGAAAUCAGCUGAAAAAUAAAUCAAGUCCAGGAAGAGAAGGUAAGACAGGGCUGCCGCUGGACCCACCAACCCAAUGGGCCUGCCGGGGGUCAGGAAUCUGGGACAGGCCCCCCAGUGAGUCAAUACCAAUUAUACUUGGAAGCCUUUUACGUUUCGGUCCCUCCCUGGACCUUCCCGCCUAGCCCCGGACACCCAGCUGCCCCCUGGGCCUCACUCGGGGGUGCUACAACGGCCACUGGGGCCAGUCACCACCAUUCUCGCUUUCCCGCCCCACACAAGGAAAGAAACCACUGCCCCACCCACUUGUGUGGCCACGUGACUUGCUUUGGCCAAUGAAAUGUGAGCAGCUGGCUAUGACACGUGUCACUUCCGGGCGGAAGCUUUACAAGCCGGUGCGCCGCGCUGAUUUCUUUUCCUUCUGCUACAGCAACCUGCAGGGUGCCGUGCGGUGGCCGAGUGGGAAGGUCUCUCACCAGACUGCCAUUCAGGUGGCAGCUAGGGCUGUGGUCUCAUCUGAAGGCUCCAUCAGACGCAAGCUGGGGAGGCAGAGAGUGGACGGACAGAGGAUCCGAAGGA